UUUUUUUUUUUUCUCAUAAAGGUGGG
rnacentral:sRNA from 1 species